CAAAGAAGGUCAGCUCCCUCUCUCAAAUCCAACUCUCUCUCUCUCAAAUUAAAGUCGGACCUCUCUCUCAAAUUCACAUCUGUCGGCUCUUCCAGGACCAGAUUAAAACAAAAUUCAAGUUAAAAGGUGGGCACAUACUUGUUGGCUUGUUAUCAAAAGCUCGUGUAAGUAACAAGAAGCCUAGGUGGAUUCUACCUAAAAAUUGGCAAAAGUUAGUUGACCAUUGGGAGACCUAUUUAAGGUUCAAGUAGAUGAGUGAGAUUGGCAAGAAAGCUAGAGCUUCUAUUAAGGGUGGCUCUUUACAUACGAGUUGAGCUCAGAGUCAGGGGAAUGUAAGGAGAAAAUUGGAAAAGGGACUCGGGAGGUCAAUAAUGCAGAGGCAUUCAAGGCUACACACACAAGGAAAAAGAAAAUUCUGGAGAUCCUGAUGUUUGGGUUGAGCCAUGAGCUCAGUUGACCUAUAAUCAAUAUCUGCAAUUCAUAGAGGAUUUUUACCAAACUCUACCAAAAGAUAGUAAAGACCUACCACUUAGCCAAAAGUAGAAUGAGAGAAUAUGGUUAGAUGCGGUUGGUGGCCCGAGUAGGUAUGGAUAUUCUUAUGGCUUUCCCCAACAAACCUUUCUUCAAUUUCAUUCAGAACUAGAAGGUCUCAGAAGUUUUCAGGAUGAUGAGUGAAGUGAAAUGAAGCGAAGCUAAGGCAUUGCAGGUGAGGAAAAUGCAAAGGGAUAUACAGUAUGCAAGAAUGAAGGCCCAAUUCGAUGCAUUACUUACUUCGGGGGAUUUUCCUUGUCCCGGUGAUGUAGUACGCCCUCCUCGACCUACAAAAUCUCUACCUAUUUCACAUGAAAUAUAUGCUCAAUACAUAAAUGUCACCGAGGAGCCCAACAGUGAUGAAGAUGAUGAGGAUUACUAUGUGGACA